AGGCUAUGAUAUCUAACGUUUAUGAUCUGGAUCUGGAUGACUACGUUUUAUUAAGAUCCCUAGAUGUCUAAAUUAUUAGUGACAUCAUAAAUUACUAAUCACCAAUUGUGGAUUGUCUGAUGUUGAUAGAUAUUACUAACAACAGGUUAUAUUUAUAUUCUUCUUCUAAGUUCUAUUUUGUUUUUGUUCUUACUUUAUUUUCUAAUGAGAUGUAUUGAAUGUUUGGUUGAUGAAAUGGUAGGGUAUAUUGAUAAAUGGACAGUUUCCAGGACCUCAGAUUGAAGCUGUCACUAAUGAUAACUUGAUUAUCAGUGUUUUCAAUAGCUUGGAUCAACCUUUUCUGUUUUCUUGGAAUGGAGUAGAGCAGAGAAGAAAUUCAUGGCAAGAUGGAGUAUAUGGAACAAACUGUCCAAUUCCACCAGGAAAGAACUUCACUUAUGUUCUUCAAGUAAAAGAUCAGAUUGAGAGAAAGUGGUGGUUCCCGUGACGAAACCGUACGUAACGUUUGAAGGUGAAGGAAGAGAAGUAACAGUGAUAGAAUGGCAUGAUAGAACGAGUGAUCCUGGUCCCAAUGGACAACAGCUACGGACUUAUAGAACUGC